rnacentral:rRNA from 1 species
UACGUAGGGAGCAAGCGUUGUCCGGAAUCAUUGGGCGUAAAGCGCGCGUAGGCGGCCCUGUAAGUCCGUUGUGAAAGUCAAAGGCUCAACCUUUGAAAGCCGAUGGAUACUGCAGGGCUGGAGUCCGGAAGAGGCGAGUGGAAUUCCUGGUGUAGCGGUGGAAUGCGCAGAUAUCAGGAGGAACACCAAUAGCGAAGGCAGCUCGCUGGAACGGUACUGACGCUGAGGCGCGAAAGCGUGGGGAGCGAACAGG